GCUCCCAUGGCGUAGUGGUCACUGCGCUCCUUGCCUUGCACGCAGGAGACCCGGGUUCAACUCCCGGCAGGGUCA
rnacentral:tRNA from 1 species